rnacentral:rRNA from 1 species
CAGUCGCCACGGGAAUACGAAGAGGGCUAGCGUUGCUCGGAAUUACUGGGCGUAAAGGGAGCGUAGGCGGAUCGUUAAGUUGGGGGUGAAGGCCCGGGGCUCAACUUCGGAAUUGCCUUCAAUACUGGCGAUCUUGAGUAUGGAAGAGGUAUGUGGAACUCCGAGUGUAGAGGUGAAAUUCGUAGAUAUUCGGAAGAACACCAGUGGCGAAGGCGACAUACUGGUCCAUUACUGACGCUGAGGCUCGAAAGCGUGGGGAGCAAACAGGAUUAGAUACCCCCGUAGUCCCUGUCUCUUAUAC